GCCAUUACCAUCUAGAAGCUGGUGGGGAUGUGGCAAUUAGAAGGACUGUUAGCCCUAGUUAAUGUGGUCAAGCGAUGUCAAUUGUUUAGUUUUUAGGUGCAAGGAACAGAACCGACGCUGCUGGACUUAAGGAGCAAAGGAAUUUAUCAGAAGGAUAUUGGAUGGCUUGCAGGAACCUGAGAGGCCCAGAGCCAGGCACUGAGGCUCUGCAGCCAGGAACAAUUGCCCACAAGAAAGCCUUAGAAACACUUCUGUGCUGGACCCCACAAGUUCCACCACUGACAACACGGGAUCAAUAAUGCGGCUACGGUCACUGCCAUCAUCUGCUCUGUACCGCACCUGCUUCUUCCAAACCCCUGAUUUCUCAUCAAUCAGGGUUAGGGAAGAUGUCCCUGACUGGCAUGUGCCUUCAGUUGUGCUCAAGGAGCUGGAAAAGCAAGAUCUGGCUUAAAGAAAGAAGCCCUCUUCUGCCUGAGACCAAGUAAUCAACAAUGUAACUACAGAUGGAGUCUCACUGUGUCGCCCUGGCUAGAGUGAAGUGGCGCAAUCUCGGCUCACUGCAACCUCCACCACCCAGGUUCAAGCAAUUCUGCCUCAGCCUCCUGAGUAGCCGGGAUUACAGGCACGUGCCACCAAACCCAGCUAAUUUUUGUAUUUUUAGUAAAGAUGGGGUUUUGCCAUGUUGGCCAGGCUGGUCUUGAACUCCUGACCUCAGGUGAUCCACCCACCUCGGCCUCCCAAAGUGCUGGGAUUACAGGCAUGAGCCACUGCACCUGGCCCGUCUCUCUUUUUCUUUCUUUCUCUCUUUUUCUUUCUUUCUCUUUCUCCCUUCCUUCCUCCUUCCUUCCUCUUCCUUCCUCUUUCUUCUUUCUUUCUUUCUUUUUCUUUCUUUCUCUCCUCCUCUCUUUCUCUCUCUCUUUCAAGACAGGGUCUAACUCUGUUGCCCAUGCUACAGUGCAAUGGCACAAUUAUAGCUCACUGACUGCAGCCUCAAAUCCCAGGCCCAAGCAAUCCUCCCACCUCAGCCUCCAGAGUAGAUGGGACUACAGGUGUGUGCCACCACACCUGACUAAUUUUUUUAAAUUUUUCUGUGGAGAUGGGGUUUCACCACGUUGCCCAGGCUCUUCUCAAACUCAUGGGCUGAAGCGUUCCUCCCACCUCGGCCUCCCAUAUUGCUGAGAUUACAGGCAUGAAACACCACGCCCAGCCUAUCUUUCACGAUGAGUGUUCUAAAGACCAUAUGGUGGAAAUUCUAGCAAACAACAAUAAUUUGGCACUUAAUAAAUGGUUGGGUGCAGC